rnacentral:rRNA from 1 species
AAGACCUUGCGCUUUUGGAGCGGCCGAUGUCUGAUUAGCUUGUUGGUGAGGUAAAAGCUCACCAAGGCUUCGAUCAGUAGCUGGUCUGAGAGGACGGCCAGCCACACUGGGACUGAGACACGGCCCAGACUCCUACGGGAGGCAGCAGUGGGGAAUUUUGGACAAUGGGGGCAACCCUGAUCCAGCCAUGCCGCGUGAGUGAAGAAGGCCUUCGGGUUGUAAAGCUCUUUCAGCCGGAACGAAACGGUUACGAUUAAUACCCGUGACUACUGACGGUACCGGAAGAAGAAGCACCGGCUAACUACGUGCCAGCAGCCGCGGUAAUACGUAGGGUGCAAGCGUUAAUCGGAAUUACUGGGCGUAAAGCGUGCGCAGGUGGURUUGUAAGUCAGAUGUGAAAUCCCCGGGCURAACCUGGGAACU